rnacentral:rRNA from 1 species
CUACGGGUUGCAGCAGUGAGGAAUAUUGCACAAUGGGGGAAACCCUGAUGCAGCAACGCCGCGUGGAGGAUGACGCAUUUCGGUGUGUAAACUCCUUUUAUAUGUCAAGAAAAUGACGGUAGCAUAUGAAUAAGCACCGGCUAACUCCGUGCCAGCAGCCGCGGUAAUACGGAGGGUGCAAGCGUUACUCGGAAUCACUGGGCGUAAAGGACGCGUAGGCGGGUUGUCAAGUCAGGUGUGAAAUCCUACAGCUUAACUGUAGAACUGCACUUGAAACUUCUAAUCUAGAGUAUGGGAGGGGGAGAUGGAAUUAGUGGUGUAGGGGUAAAAUCCGUAGAUAUCACUAGGAAUACCUAAAGCGAAGGCGAUCUCCUGGAACAUUACUGACGCUAAGGCGUGAAAGCGUGGGGAGCAAACAGGAUUAGAUACCCUUGUAGUC